AGACAAACUCAAUGGUAUUGCGAUCCAACUCAAUCAACGUCAAACUGAAUGGUUACACAAGGUGAAAGGUUAAGGUUCAUGUGUAUACCCCAGAAGUCGGCCUCUGAUGUUGUUCCUCCGGAGCUCUGUCUUGCUUACUGAGACAGAUUCUCUCACCUAGCAUAUGCAGCUUGCCCAUUAGACUACUCAGGGAUGCCAGCAAGGCCUAGAGAUCUUCCUGUUCCUGCCCAGCCCCCAACCCAGUGCAAGAAUCACAGGUGCCCACCGCCAUGCAUAAGGAUUAGAAUAUCAAACUCGGAUUCUUUUGCAGCAAGUCUCUGACUAACUGAGUCAUUGCCCAGCCUACAGGGACUUCUUUAAAUACACAGUAUAUGCUGAAUAUUCUUAAUUAUUCAGGAAGUGAAAAACCGUCAGCUGCUAAAACAACUACUUACCAUAGUAGCAUGUACAUCAUAAUGCUUAUUUGGUUGAAAGACAAGCCUUCAAAUGAAUACUGCUUCCAGGUAAGGCCAGCUCUGCACAGGUAUUUAGACGUGUUGGGGAUCUUGAUGCUUCUCCACUGUCUGGAGUGAUGGUGAGGGAUUCAGGAUUAAAAAUGGUGAGAUGCAACAACAUGAAACCAGAAUGCACACGUUCCAGGUCAAAUAUUUUCUUUUGAAAUAUCUAAACAGAUGAAUCUCCAGAGACAUAGAACAAAGCUGGCUCACCUAGAAAACUGGUUCAGUAGUAACUUCCAACCAAAAGUUUCUUAUAAGACUUCAGAUGAAUACUUUGAGACUUCUAAGCCCGACACAUGUCACCUAAACAGCAGUCAAUGAACUGAGCUGAUGUCAUGUCAAUUUUCAGGCUGCUUGCCUCUUAUUAUCUUGUCACAGAAAUUAGAAAAUGACAACCAUCUUGCUCUCCUGUGGACGACUUAUUAAAAACCCAGGAUGAAGAGGCUCUGUCAUUAUUCCUUGUGUCGUGGUAAAUAAAGGCAGUGCCCUGAUAUUCUCCCAAAGAGCCUUGUACACCAGCACAUUAAUAAAUCAAUCAUCCCAGGUCUCCUGUGUAGCACUUCCCUGUCACUGCUCCACAGAAGACAUGCUUAAAUUCUGGCCAAGCUGGCAUUACAUUUGACAGGAUCUAACGUUGCUUUAAUAUUCUGUGUCCAUAAAUAUACACAGCAAAUGGACGGGGAUUGCUCACUUCCAAUAUACCCAAUGGAUUUUCAGACUCGAGUGACACUCCAGCAAGAAAGAUUUCAUCUGAACUGACUUGAUAUUGAAAUCCGCAAAUGCCCUUGCUCUCAAAUUGUGCAGCUUGUUUCUGGGCACCAGUUUCUUUCUUUACACUAUAAAAGCUCUUUAGCCCACUAGUUCAUUCUUCACUGAACAGCCACCACCUUGAGCUGCUUCCUGUGGCAUAUCAAUGGUUUUAUUCUCUUGCUCAGUGAGUUUUACACUCCCAUUCUCUUAAACUGUGCAUGAAGUUCCUACAAGCAUAAGAAUGACUGACACAAAGACAUCACUGUUGUUUUCUGCUGCCACGCCAGGACACCGCAGCUUAGGUCACUGAAUCAAUGUCCCCUCAAAUUCUGCACUCUGAGAUCCAAAGACUAGGAGCUAGCAUUUGGUGAGGACCCUUUUCACUGGUUUACCACAUGGAGGAGGAUACCAAACAGCUGGCGAUAGCAAAGGUACCAGCUCAGGUGUCUUGUCUUCAUCUCUUAAAGCCACAGAUGCCAUCAUGGUGGCCUCACCCUGCUCAUCACAUCUAAGCUUAACAUCUCCCAACAUCUGCUCACCAAUGCUUUCAACAUCCAUAGCUGAAGAAAACAGGUUAGUGUUUAAAAGUAUAUCGCAACCAUGGCAACCAUAGCAGAUGUGAAAUUAUGUCUUCCCAAGCUAGCCAUGGAAGCUGGCCAUGGACUGGUAUCCCAGAGAAGGAGCAUUAAGGAUUUUGUGAGAGCAAUUAGUUCUUCUCCUUCUCCUUCUCCUUCUCCUUCUCCUUCUCCUUCUCCUUCUCCUUCUCCUUCUUCUUCUUCUUCUUCUUCUUCUUCUUCUUCUUCUUCUUCUCCUUCUCCUUCUCCUUCUCCUUCUCCUUCUCCUUCUCCUUCUCCUUCUCCUUCUCCUUCUCCUUCUCCUUCUCCUUCUCCUUCUCCUUCUCCUUCUUUUUUUUCUCUCUCUCUUUCCUUUCUCUCCCCUUACUUCCUGUUCAGUUCGAAUUUUUAUCCAUGUCUUUAUGCUGUUUUAAUCUUCCCUUGCUUGUGUACUUAAGUCAACUGCCCUAUGUGUAUUUUUAUACUUGACUUCCA
rnacentral:lncRNA from 1 species